rnacentral:lncRNA from 1 species
GAAUAUCCUCUACAUAGUAAAAGCUUUGGAUGUUACUUUAUAGGCAUGCAUGCUAAUUUCUGACCCAAUCACUGGUAGAAAAUUGCAAGGGCAAUCCUACCAUACAUUCAGAUGUAGAGAGUCAACAAUAGUCCAUUGAAUUGACCCAAACGGCUCCGUCUUCAAAAGUCUCUCCUGUCCUUGAAUUUUUCCAGUGUAUUUAUACAAGCGCAUAAUUCCCGUAAAAAAUUAGAAUCUUUGAAAAAAAGACAUUCCAAAAAGGGAAAAUCUUAGGAUUUGUAUGCAAUUGUCCUUUCUUACUUACAAAAAAUAAACUUAAUAUAAAA